AGCAGUAUCUUCAUGCAGUGAGAGAUCAUUACUGAGUUUACAGCUUCUACUACCCUUUAGUAGAUAUACCUUUAACUGUUAGCUUUCGGUGGGUGGCAGCCUUGCGGCCGCCCUUGGCCCCGCUUACGCGGGGCGCCUACUGGAGGUCCACUAAACUCUGAUUUAACAAUGUUUCUUCUGAGUGGUAUAAGUAAAUAAUUAAAACUUUUAACAACGGAUCUCUUGGUUCUGGUAUUGAUGAAGAAUGCAGUGAAAUGUGAUAAGUAAUGUGAAUUGUAGAAUUUAGUGAAUCAUUGAAUCUUUGAACGCACAUUGCGCCCGCCAGUAUUCUGGUGGGUAUGUCUGUUUAAGCGUUAUUUUAACCCUUAAGUAUCGCUUAGUUUUAGGGCCUUACGGCAGACGUAGGCACUUAAAGGUAGUAGCGCACCCUCUUAGAGCCUCCUGUGCGUAGUAACUUAACGUCUCGUACUAGGAUCUGGAGGGACUCUUGCCGUAAAGCCCCCUAAUUUUUACAAGGUUGACUUUCGGUCAGGUAGGAAUACCCGUGAACUUGAGCAUAUCAAUACUCCCAAAGAAAAAAAU
rnacentral:rRNA from 1 species